AGGUGUGGGGGACAUUCCACGUUUUCCGCGCCGUAGCUAACGCAUUAAGUGCCCCGCCUGGGGAGUACGGCCGCAAGGCUAAAACUCAAAGGAAUUGACGGGGGCCCGCACAAGCGGCGGAGCAUGCGGAUUAAUUCGAUGCAACGCGAAGAACCUUACCAAGGCUUGACAUACACCGGACCGCCCUAGAGAUAGGGUUUCCCUUCGGGGCUGGUGUACAGGUGGUGCAUGGUUGUCGUCAGCUCGUGUCGUGAGAUGUUGGGUUAAGUCCCGCAACGAGCGCAACCCUUGUCCUAUGUUGCCAGCACGUAAUGGUGGGGACUCAUGGGAGACUGCCGGGGUCAACUCGGAGGAAGGUGGGGAUGACGUCAAAUCAUCAUGCCCCUUAUGUCUUGGGCUUCACGCAUGCUACAAUGGCCGGUACAGUGGGUUGCGAUACUGUGAGGUGGAGCUAAUCCCUAAAAGCCGGUCUCAGUUCGGAUCGAAGUCUGCAACUCGACUUCGUGAAGUUGGAGUCGCUAGUAAUCGCAGAUCAGCAAUGCUGCGGUGAAUACGUUCCCGGGCCUUGUACACACCGCCCGUCAAGUCACGAAAGUUGGUAACACCCGAAGCCGGUGGCCCAACCCUUGUGGGGGGAGCCGUCGAAGGUGGGGCUG
rnacentral:rRNA from 1 species